GUGCCUUAAACUUAUGAGUAAGGAAAAUAUAAGAGCCCUGGUAAUGCUUGGCUUACAUGCUAGCUAACCUAGCCCGAAUUUUUGAAGGGGAACAGGUCGUCCCAUUGGACUGGCAGCUUACUUUCUCGCUGCCUGGUUCGGGUGAAGCGAUCUUCCCC